rnacentral:rRNA from 1 species
GACGAACGCUGGCGGCGUGCUUAACACAUGCAAGUCGAACGGAAAGGCCCUGCUUUUGUGGGGUGCUCGAGUGGCGAACGGGUGAGUAACACGUGAGUAACCUGCCCUUGACUUUGGGAUAACUUCAGGAAACUGGGGCUAAUACCGGAUAGGAGCUCCUUCUGCAUGGUGGGGGUUGGAAAGUUUCGGCGGUUGGGGAUGGACUCGCGGCUUAUCAGCUUGUUGGUGGGGUAGUGGCUUACCAAGGCUUUGACGGGUAGCCGGCCUGAGAGGGUGACCGGCCACAUUGGGACUGAGAUGCGGCCCAGACUCCUACGGGAGGCAGCAGUGGGGAAUAGUGCACAAUGGGCUGAAGCCUGAUGCAGCAACGCCGCGUGCGGGAUGACGGCCUUCGGUUUGUAAACCGCUUUCGCCUGUGACGAAGCGUGAGUGACGGUAAUGGGUAAAGAAGCACCGGCUAACUACGUG